AGCGAACGCUGGCGGCGUGCCUAACACAUGCAAGUCGAGCGAGAAAGGGGGCUUCGGCCCUCAGUACAGCGGCGAACGGGUGCGUAACACGUGGGUGAUCUGUCCUCGAGACGGGGAUAACCCAGCGAAGUUGGGCUAAUACCGGAUAAGACCACAAGAGGAAACUCUCGGGGUCAAAGGUGCUUCCUUUUGGGAGCAUUCGCUGGAGGAGGAGCCCGCGUCCUAUCAGCUUGUUGGAGGGUAACGGCCUACCAAGGCAAAGACGGGUAGCUGGUCUGAGAGGAUGACCAGCCACACGGGGACUGAGAUACGGCCCCGACUCCUACGGGA
rnacentral:rRNA from 1 species